AUGUCAAAGUUUUGGUGGGAAUGAUCACUAGAUAAGAAAGGAAUGCAUUGGCAAUCAUGGGAGAAGAUGUCUGUUUCAAAACUGAGAGGAGGAAUCGGAUUCCGUGAUUUGCAAGUGUUUAAUGAUGCAAUGUUAGCAAAACAAGCUUGGCGCUUGUUGGACAAUCUGGAAAGUCUAUGUGCGCGUGUCCUGAGGGGAAGGUAUUACCCUGAUGGUGAUUUUUUGCAGGCUGGAUGUCCAGCUAGUGCGUUGGCCACUUGGAGAGCCAUCAUAUCAGGAAGAGAAGCGCUGAAAAAAGGGUUAAUUCGAAGGGUAGGAGAUGGUCGGACGACGGAGGUGUGGCAUGAUAAAUGGAUAGAAGGAACACCUACUUUCCGACCAGUCUACAACAUAGGUAGGAGGCCGUACACACUGUUUCUGACCUGUUGUUGGAGACAGGGGGCUGGAAUGAAGCUGUGA
rnacentral:rRNA from 1 species